rnacentral:rRNA from 1 species
GGAUUAGAUACCCUGGUAGUCCAUGCCGUAAACGAUGAUUACUAGGUGUUGGGGGAUUGACCCCCUCAGUGCCGCAGUUAACACAAUAAGUAAUCCACCUGGGGAGUACGACCGCAAGGUUGAAACUCAAAGGAAUUGACGGGGGCCCGCACAAGCAGUGGAGUAUGUGGUUUAAUUCGAAGCAACGCGAAGAACCUUACCAGGUCUUGACAUCCGAUGCAUAGCACAGAGAUGUGUGAAAUCCUUCGGGACAUCGAGACAGGUGGUGCAUGGUUGUCGUCAGCUCGUGCC